GCAUGAAAUCCGGAGAUGGAGUUGGCGUGUGUUCCGUGACGGUUAUAAUUGGAUUUGUCAUUGGUUGUGUUGGGACUGUGCGCAUGCGUCGUGGACGAUCCCAGUGAACCUCACAAUAAAAAUUGAAAUUUUCGUUGUUUGGAGGUUAAAUCAACUCACCCACUAGCCGCCAACUCAUCAAUCAAACAGCUGUGUUGAUGAAUGAACAAUGUGCGAAGAAAAGACAGACAGGUCAAGAGAAAGAGUCACUAUGAAGAGUCACACAUGAAUCACACACUAGAUGGCGUUACCUUAAACUCGGCAUACUCUUGCCUUUGACAAGAUUAGAAGGUUGCAUCCAUUCCGGGCGCAUUGUUGACAUCGGACGUGACAGAUGCUCAUCACCCGUAUCCAAACUCCUAUGAUACUCCUAAUAACCACAAAAAAAACAAUAGAAAACAUCAUAACCUCAAAUAAAAUGUGCGUAGAGUGUGAAAAUUGUAAGAAUGAAGAAUUAUAAGAACAAGAAACAAGUUUAAAAGUAUUUUGAGGUUAUGUGCAUAAAACACUUACAAUAUGUGUGUUUCUGAGUGUUUUCAGAGAAAAGAUGAAGAAAGAUCGAUACAUACAUUAAUCAUCGUGGAACUUGAACCCACCGCUUGAUCACCCAGCAGUUUGACAUCAUCCUGGCCGCAUUUCUCCAACGCCUUGUCAGAUUUUGACAGCAGUUUAGUCUCAACAAAAGCUUUGAGGUCGGCCAUCUUCAUACGCUUCUUAGUUUUCUCACUAGAGCGGCGCUGGUGAUGCGGAACAACAUCCUCAGCAGUUUUGGACACAUACGGUGACUCUGGAACAUCUUCAGUGAUAUUUCAACAAACAGAAACCUCGAUUUUUGGUAUGGGUAGGGAGUUGGAUCUUCGUCGAGGUUGUUGUUGAGCUGC